CCUCUAUACAGAGACAUCACCACACCCUUCAUAGUGGCCCUCCAACAGGUGAGAUGUGGGAUGAGAUUUAUAGCUGGCUGUGCAACAGAAACAUACAAUGCUCAACAGCUGACAGAGAGACUUAAAGUAACUAGUCAGGUCCAUGAGACAAUAGGUCACAUCAGGGAAGCAGCUCAGCUUUUAGGAAAGUUCCUAUUUAAUUCAUCGGAUCUGAUUAGCAGCAUAAAGUUAGCUCAGAAAAUCCUGUUCGUA